GAAGUCUUAACAGCCUCUUGAAGUGCUUCAGAGCAAAGGCCCAGUGAGGUCAGCUCAUGAAUAUUGCUUCAUUUUCCUGAGAGGCGCUGGCAGCGGCGGGUACCUCGUGUGCGGUGCCCGGCUCUCCGUGCAUGCAUUUCUCCAGCCGGGCAGCGGACAAAGUGGUGCUGUUCCCGACAGGAAAACCUGCGGAGACGCCGCGUCCCGGCGCCACGUGGGUUUGCCUCAGGGGAGAAGGUCGAGCUGCGGAGUUUUGUGAGGACAGAGAUUUCGGACCUGGUCUCAAACGGGGCUUGCGUUGUGCCAGUUAAAAUAUAUAUAAAUACAUGCAUAUAUAUAUCUAAAAUCAGCCAAUUUAGCUGUAGGCGGUAGCCGAUCUUGGAUUUUGGGGCAUGUAAGGGUAGGGGUUGUGUUCUGGCAGGUCGCGGUUGAGUCUGAUGUCUUAGUUGCCGCGAAAGUUCCCUUAAAGAUUCAGGUACAGCAUAGCGUUCCCGAUAAUUAUUUUGAAUCACAUUUCUUAUAUUUCAUACCUGUAUAGCUCCAAACAACGGUGGGGUGAGGAUUGUGUUUGUGGUGGCUAAUAGAAAUGCAAAGCAAAUCUUUUAUAAAGUGUUGGCAUGCAAGUUUUAUAGCUCUACACUCCCAUGCUUUCUUUUUACUAAUUAAUGCUUGGGAAGCGUCUGCCAGAUUGUGUCAUUUUGAGCAUUAAUUUCCAGAAUAUUGGUUUAAAUCAGGUUAUUAAUGACAGUGCAUUUGAGAGCAAAUGAUGUACUCCUCCUGCCAGUGAGAGCAGAGCAAACACAGCCUCAUUGUCUAGUAUGUUCCAGGGAGUAAACCAAUUGUCAGGGCACGGUAUAGUCUCUACGUUGAAUUUGCCCAGUCGUGCUUUAUUCUUUAUUCCCUGUUUUAGCAGGGAAUGUUAAGCCAUGUUCUAGGAGGGAAUGGACAGGCCAUGUUAGGAAUGCUACCAUUUCUGUUGUUACCCAUGUUUUCUCCCUAAGGAGAGCUGAAUAAAAGCUGUGUGAAAACAGUUUGUGGAUCACAGACAUUAUUUUCAGAAUAUAUUUGGGACAUUAGCAGUAUGAUAUGGCUUUUAACAGCCCUUUUUCAUAACCUGUCGUGAUCAUAAAAACUCUGGUUGUGUCAUUAUAGGGGCAAAUGGCUAAAUGAGCAUCCUUCAGAGAAUGACACAUAUAAUUUUGUUCUGGGUGAGGGCUUAUUCCUUGCUUCCUCUGUUUUGAAAAUCUGGAGUGAUUAUGUCUGAGUCAUAUAUAACCUAUUGAUCUGCAUAACUGGUAACAAACAUGAAUCGGUCUUAAAUCCUGACAGCACCUCUGGAUAACAAACUGUGGAAUAUGUAUGUUUAAAAGCUGAUUGCAGAAACCCUUUGCUUUAUGACCGUCGAUUCCCUAGUCACCUUGCCCCGGAAGAGUCGCUGUCGAAGCUGAAGGGAAAUCUGUAGUUGCUUCCACGUGUGCAGCCCUUUGUACAGUAGCUUUCCCCCACUCAGCUGUGGUAGACACUUGGAGAGGCCUUUUAGCAGGCAGACAGGUGCAUUAGCAACCCAGGCCUGGUGGUGAGGAUAAGGGAGAGGGGAAAUUUGAGUGUGGAAGAAAAUGUAUCCCUGCGGGGGAAGGUUCGGCAUCGGGGCUGGGGAAACGCCCCUAGGUGCGGGCGGAGUGGAAGCAGGUCUCAGCCUCAGCGGAGCCCUUCGGGCCCUUCCUUGGGCAGCUCCGGUUGGCUCUGGGCUGCGGCCUCGGUCG
rnacentral:lncRNA from 1 species